CAGCCGCCGCGGUAAUACCGGCGGCCCGAGUGGCGGUCACUAUUAUUGGGCUUAAAGCGUCCGUAGCCGGGUUGGUUAGUCUCCCGGGAAAUCUGGCCGCUUAACGGUCAGAAUGCCGGAGGAUACUCCCAGCCUAGGGAGCGGGAGAGGCCGAGGGUAUUCCCGGAGUAGGGGUGAAAUCCUAUAAUCCCGGGAGGACCACCUGUGGCGAAGGCGCUCGGCUGGAACGCGUCCGACGGUGAGGGACGAAGGCCAGGGGAGCAAACCGGAUUAGAUACCCGGGUAGUCCUGGCUGUAAACGAUGCGGACUUUGUGUCGGACAAGCUAUGAGCUUGUCCGGUGCCGGAGGGAAACCGUUAAGUCCGCCGCCUGGGGAGUACGGCCGCAAGGCUGAAACUUAAAGGAAUUGGCGGG
rnacentral:rRNA from 1 species